rnacentral:rRNA from 1 species
CUUGGUCAUUUAGAGGAAGUAAAAGUCGUAACAAGGUUUCCGUAGGUGAACCUGCGGAAGGAUCAUUCAUAAUAAGUGUUUUAUGGCACUUUUUAAAUCCAUAUCCACCUUGUGUGCAAUGUCAGUUGUUCUCUUUUUUGAGAAUGACCAAACAUCAACUUAUUCUUUAACUCUUUGUCUGAAAAAUAUUAUGAAUAAAAUAAUUCAAAAUACAACUUUCAACAACGGAUCUCUUGGCUCUCGCAUCGAUGAAGAACGCAGCGAAAUGCGAUACGUAAUGUGAAUUGCAGAAUUCAGUGAAUCAUCGAAUCUUUGAACGCAUAUUGCGCUCUUUGGUAUUCCGAAGAGCAUGCUUGUUUGAGUAUCAGUAAACACCUCAAAGACUUCAAUUUGUUUUGAAUGGCUUUGGACUUGAGCAAUCCCAACACCAGUCUUUACGAUCGGUGGAGGGUUGCUUGAAAUGCAGGUGCAGCUGGACAUUCUCCUGAGCUAAAAGCAUAUUUAUUUAGUCCCGUCAAACGGAUUAUUACUUUUGCUGCAGCUAACAUAAAGGGAGUUUGACCGUAUUGGCUGACUGAUGCAGGAUUUCACAAGGGUCGGCAACGAUUCUUGUAAAACUCGAUCUCAAAUCAAGUAAGACUACCCGCAUUUACUUAAGCAUAUCAAUAAGCGGAGGA